UGUACCUCAGUGCUUGGCUGUAGACAAUGGAUCGUGUGGUGUGUCCGGGGUGGAAGCUGGAGGCAUGAAGGUAGGCAUAGCGGUCAGUAGGUUUUCGAUAUAGGGUGGUGUUAAUGUGACCAUCACUUAUUUGCACCGUGGUGUCAAGAAAGUGGAUCUCCUGUGUAGAUUGGUCCAGGCUGAGGUUGAUGGUGGGGUGGAAGCUGUUGAAAUCAUGGUGGAAUUUUUCCAGAGUCUCCUUCCCAUGGGUCCAGAUGAUGAAGAUGUCAUCAAUGUAG